AGUGGUUAAGUGCUUGGCUGCUAACCAAAAGGUUUGUGGUUCGAAUCCACCAGCCACUC
rnacentral:tRNA from 1 species